UACGGAGGGUGCAAGCGUUAUCCGGAUUCACUGGGGUUAAAGGGUGCGUAGGUGGGUCUGUAAGUCCGUGGUGAAAUCUCCGAGCUUAACUUGGAAACUGCCAUGGAUACUAUAGAUCUUGAAUACUGUGGAGGUUAGCGGAAUGUGUCAUGUAGCGGUGAAAUGCUUAGAUAUGACAUAGAACACCAAUUGCGAAGGCAGCUGGCUACACAAAUAUUGACACUGAUGCACGAAAGCGUGGGGAUCAAACAGG
rnacentral:rRNA from 1 species